rnacentral:tRNA from 1 species
GGGGUAGCCUAGCCCGGUCCAAGGCGUCGGCCUUGAGAGCCGAUGGAGCAACCGCUCCGCAAGGGUUCAAAUCCCUUCCCC